rnacentral:rRNA from 1 species
AAGACCUUGCACUUUUGGAGCGGCCGAUGUCUGAUUAGCUAGUUGGUGGGGUAAUGGCCUACCAAAGCUUCGAUCAGUAGCUGGUCUGAGAGGACGGCCAGCCACACUGGGACUGAGACACGGCCCAGACUCCUACGGGAGGCAGCAGUGGGGAAUUUUGGACAAUGGGCGCAAGCCUGAUCCAGCCAUGCCGCGUGAGUGAGGAAGGCCUUCGGGUUGUAAAGCUCUUUCAGCCGGGAAGAAAAGGUUGCGACUAAUAAUCGCAAUUCAUGACGGUACCGAAAGAAGAAGCACCGGCUAACUACGUGCCAGCAGCCGCGGUAAUACGUAGGGUGCGAGCGUUAAUCGGAAUUACUGGGCGUAAAGGGUGCGCAGGCGGUUUUGUAAGUCAGAUGUGAAAUCCCCGGGCUUAACCUGGGAACU